rnacentral:rRNA from 1 species
GCGUGUUUUUUCUCUAUACGAGGAAAGAACCAACAGGGAUUGCCCUAGUAACGGCGAGUGAAGCGGCAACAGCUCAAAUUUGAAAUCUGGCUCUUUCAGGGUCCGAGUUGUAAUUUGCAGAGGGCGCUUUGGCGUUGGCAGCGGUCCAAGUUCCUUGGAACAGGACGUCACAGAGGGUGAGAAUCCCGUACGUGGUCGCUAUCCAUCGCCGUGUAAAGCCCCUUCGACGAGUCGAGUUGUUUGGGAAUGCAGCUCUAAAUGGGAGGUAAAUUUCUUCUAAAGCUAAAUACUGGCCAGAGACCGAUAGCGCACAAGUAGAGUGAUCGAAAGAUGAAAAGCACUUUGGAAAGAGAGUCAAAUAGCACGUGAAAUUGUUGAAAGGGAAGCGCUUGCAGCCAGACUUGCCUGUAGUUGCUCAUCCGGGCUUUUGCCCGGUGCACUCUUCUGCGGGCAGGCCAGCAUCAGUUUGGGCGGUUGGAUAAAGGUCUCUGUCAUGUACCUCUCUUCGGGGAGGCCUUAUAGGGGAGACGUCAUGCAACCAGCCUGAACUGAGGUCCGCGCAUCUGCUAGGAUGCUGGCGUAAUGGCUGUAAGCGGCCCGUCUUGAAACACGGACCAAGGAGUCUAACAUCUAUGCGAGUGUUUGGGUGUCAAGCCCGAGCGCGUAAUGAAAGUGAACGGAGGUGGGACCCCUUUAGGGUGCACCAUCGACCGAUCCUGAUGUCUUCGGAUGGAUUUGAGUAAGAGCAUGGCUGUUGGGACCCGAAAGAUGGUGAACUAUGCUUGAAUAGGGUGAAGCCAGAGGAAACUCUGGUGGAGGCUCGCAGCGGUUCUGACGUGCAAAUCGAUCGUCAAAUUUGGGCAUAGGGGCGAAAGACUAAUCGAANUAUCNUAGUACUGUCUCCAAAAAAAAACC